rnacentral:rRNA from 1 species
UACGGAGGGAGCUAGCGUUGUUCGGAAUUACUGGGCGUAAAGCGUACGUAGGCGGCUGUUCAAGUCAGAGGUGAAAGCCUGGAGCUCAACUCCAGAACUGCCUUUGAAACUAGACAGCUAGAAUAUUGGAGAGGUUAGUGGAAUUCCGAGUGUAGAGGUGAAAUUCGUAGAUAUUCGGAAGAACACCAGUGGCGAAGGCGGCUAACUGGACAAUUAUUGACGCUGAGGUACGAAAGCGUGGGGAGCAAACAGG